rnacentral:rRNA from 1 species
GACGAACGCUGGCGGCGUGCUUAACACAUGCCAGUCGAACGGAAAGGCCCUGCUUGCAGGGUACUCGAGUGGCGAACGGGUGAGUAACACGUGGGUGAUCUGCCCUGCACUUCGGGAUAAGCCUGGGAAACUGGGUCUAAUACCGGAUAGGAGCCAUUUUUAGUGUGAUGGUUGGAAAGUUUUUUCGGUGUAGGAUGAGCUCGCGGCCUAUCAGCUUGUUGGUGGGGUAAUGGCCUACCAAGGCGGCGACGGGUAGCCGGCCUGAGAGGGUGGACGGCCACAUUGGGACUGAGAUACGGCCCAGACUCCUACCGGAGGCAGCAGUGGGGAAUAUUGCACAAUGGGCGCAAGCCUGAUGCAGCGACGCCGCGUGGGGGAUGACGGCCUUCGGGUUGUAAACUCCUUUCGCUAGGGACGAAGCUUUUUGUGACGGUACCUAGAUAAGAAGCACCGGCUAACUACGUG